rnacentral:rRNA from 1 species
AAUACCGCGGCCCUUUAAAAUUUUUCAGUGGGCAGAUUAGACUUUAAAUUAUAUUCAAAAAGACAUGUUUUUGUUAAACAGGCGAGUAUUUAUUUGCCGAAUUCCUUAAUUAAACCUUUCAAUUAUUUUAUUUUAAACAAUUUAAUAUACUAAUUUUAUCAUUAUUUUAAUUUUUAUAUAAUUAUAAAAAUUAUUUUAAUAUAAACUUAAAUCAAUAAAAAUUAUUUUUAAUUUAAAAUAAAUUAUAACAUUUUUAUAAUUAAUGACUAUUUCUAAGCCUAUAAUUUUUAAACUAAAAAAACAUUAUAAAAUUUAUUUUAAAGCUUAUCCCCUAAAAUAUUUAUUAUUAAUAAUAACUUAUUAUUUAAAUAAAUAAUUAUUUAUUAAUAAUCUAAAUUUAAUUUAUUUCUUAAAAAACUAGAUAUAUUUAAGAACGAAUAACAUUUCAUUUCUAAUUAAUUAUUUUAAAUUUUUAUGAAACAAAAAAUUAAAUAAUAAAUUAACUCUCUUAAAUUCGAGAAAAAUUAAAUUAUUAAUUUUUAAUUAAUAAACCCUGAUACACAAGGUACAAUAUAUUAAAUUUACUUUUAACUUAAAAUUUUUUCAAAUAUUUCAAUAUUCUUUUACAAUACUAAUUAACUAUCAUACAAAUUAUUUGAUCUAUAUACUAUACAAAAAAAAAUUAAAAUUAAAAUUAAUUUUAUUAAAUAAAUUAAUAAACAAAAAAAAAUUAUAAAUUUUAAUUAUCAAAUUAAAUUGAAUUACACAAUAUACUUUUCAAUGUAAAUGAAAUGCUUUACUUUUCAAGCUCUAAUUUGUCUUUCUAGAUACACCUUC